UUUGAUCUUGGCUUGCCUGAGGGUGAUAUAGAAUAUGAAUGGUUCCCAGAUUGUGUUAAAGUCCGUCAGUUUGUUAUUUCAUUUGAAGGAGGAUCUCUCCAAGGGGGGCAGAUGAAGGAAAACAGUAGGAACUGUUUUUUGUCCUUGGGGAUAGAAGAAACACAGGGGUCGUCAUCAUCAAAGUACGUAUGCAGAGUGAUACGGAUGCAGGAAGGGUAAUAUGGAGGAUGACAGAGAAUGCUCAGAACUUCUUUCCAGUAAUUCUCUCUAAUGGGACAAAACCAAUACCUCAUGGAGAUGAGUGUUGGGGAGGUCCGUUUGGCAGAAUUGACACAGAGGAAAGCCCAGGAAGUUCCAGAUCAGGGUGACCAAUACAGCCUACCUGUUGACGGUGAAGAAUGGAUCAAGCAGAAGGUCCACAAAAGGAAGUGGAAGCACCCCAGAUGGAUAGGUUCCUACCAGGCCAUCGCAGAAACACCUAGAGCGGUGAAGGUCUAGGAGCAUCAGGGGUGGCACCACCUAUUGCACUACCAGAAGACGUCACAACCACCAUAACAGAUAAGAGUGCACACCAAGACCGUUAUUUCUAUCCUCAAUCUCCUGAGGAUUGCUUACAGUCUAAAGCACAUUUUAUGGAUGAUUCUUAUAAUCACUAUGCUUGAGUUACUUUGCAUUUGUUGAGGCCUGGUGGCCUCAAAGGAGGGAAUGACUGGGAUAAACAAAGGCCUCAUACCUUUUAAAGGGUUAAUAAAUUGUGUGAUGACAAACUGUAGGGUCUUCUCUUAGGAGACCUCUGUGUGUGUGUUAACACCUGUUUUGAGUGUUGUGCCCUUCAGACAAUAUCAGAAGGCGGAAACCACCUACGCUCAUACUCCUCCUGUCUGGGCCCCACCAUGGCUGUCUGAGGCUCUGAGAAUACGACUGGUUUUCUGAGAACACAAGGCCACUGCAGGCCUGAUGGAAACCACCUACGCU
ensembl:lncRNA